UUACGGCCAUAUCACGUUGAAAUACCGAUUCCCGUACGAUCACCAAAGUUAAGAAACGUCGAGCUUGGCCAGUACCUUGAUGGGUGACUGCUUAGGAAUACCAGUGGCUGU